GACGCCGCGUGUGUGACGAAGGCCUUCGGGUCGUAAAGCACUGUCAGCCGGGAAGAAGACAUGCGUGCAAACCACGCGUGUGUUGACGGUACCGGCGAAGGAAGCACCGGCCAACUCCGUGCCAGCAACGUCGGUGACUGAGCGGGCUGGCAAGGCGCAUA
rnacentral:rRNA from 1 species